rnacentral:rRNA from 1 species
UACGUAGGGUGCGAGCGUUGUCCGGAAUUAUUGGGCGUAAAGAGCUCGUAGGCGGUGUGUCACGUCGGCCGUGAAAACCUGCAGCUUAACUGUGGGCGUGCGGUCGAUACGGGCAUCACUGGAGUUCGGCAGGGGAGACUGGAAUUCCUGGUGUAGCGGUGAAAUGCGCAGAUAUCAGGAGGAACACCAGUGGCGAAGGCGGUGCUCUGGGGCCGGAACUGACGCUGAGGAGCGAAAGCGUGGGGAGCAAACAGG